AUUGAACGCUGGCGGCAGGCCUAACACAUGCAAGUCGAACGAGUGGCGGACGGGUGAGUAAUGUCUGGGAAACUGCCCGAUGGAGGGGGAUAACUCCUGUAAAAGGUAGCGAAUACCGCAUACCAUCGGAUGUGCCCAGAUGGGAUUAGAUAGUAGGUGGGGUAACGGCUCACCUAGGCGACGAGCCCUAGCUGGUCUGAGAGGAUGACCAGCCACACUGGAACUGAGACCCGGUCCAGACUCCUACGGGAGGCAUCAGUGGGGAAUAUUGCACAAUGGGCGCAAGCCUGAUGCAGCCAUGCCGCGUGUGUGAAGAAGGCCUUCGGGUUGUAAAGCACUUUCAGCGGGGAGGCGUUACCCGCAGAAGAAGCACCGGCUAACUCCGUGCCAGCCGCCGCGGUAAUUC
rnacentral:rRNA from 1 species